rnacentral:rRNA from 1 species
GGGAUGGACAUACCUCUGGUGUACCAGUUGUCGUGCCAACGGCAUAGCUGGGUAGCUAUGUGUGGACGGGAUAAGUGCUGAAAGCAUCUAAGCAUGAAGCCCCCCUCAAGAUGAGAUUUCCCAACUUCGGUUAUAAGAUCCCUCAAAGAUGAUGAGGUUAAUAGGUUCGAGGUGGAAGCAUGGUGACAUGUGGAGCUGACGAAUACUAAUCGAUCGAAGACUUAAUCAAAA